rnacentral:misc_RNA from 1 species
GUGAAUCAUCGAAUUUUUGAACGCAAAUUGCACUCUCCUCGGAGAGUAUGCCUGUUUGAGGGUCAGCCUAUAAAAAAUCGACAUCGUUUCUGUUGCGCGGUGGCGUUCGUCGGAAAUUGGGUCAUCGUAAAUCCUUUUUGUGUUUAAGCGACUUAAAAUUUGCGUGUUGGUUCCAUGAACGUUUCUAAGAUUUAUUUCUUUACACGUUUGAGGUAUCUAUUUUUAUUAGACUUGACCAUCAUAUCGGAUCGCGUCCAUAAUCUGUCAUUAAC